GGACGAACGCUGGCGGCGUGCUUAACACAUGCAAGUCGAACGGAAAGGCCCUGCUUUUGUGGGGUGCUCGAGUGGCGAACGGGUGAGUAACACGUGAGUAACCUGCCCUUGACUUUGGGAUAACUUCAGGAAACUGGGGCUAAUACCGGAUAGGAGCUCCUGCUGCAUGGUGGGGGUUGGAAAGUUUCGGCGGUUGGGGAUGGACUCGCGGCUUAUCAGCUUGUUGGUGGGGUAGUGGCUUACCAAGGCUUUGACGGGUAGCCGGCCUGAGAGGGUGACCGGCCACAUUGGGACUGAGAUACGGCCCAGACUCCUACGGGAGGCAGCAGUGGGGGAUAUUGCACAAUGGGCGGAAGCCUGAUGCAGCAACGCCGCGUGCGGGAUGACGGCCUUCGGGUUGUAAACCGCUUUCGCCUGUGACGAAGCGUGAGUGACGGUAAUGGGUAAAGAAGCACCGGCUAACUACGUGCCAGCAGCCGCGGUGAUACGUAGGGUGCGAGCGUUGUCCGGAUUUAUUGGGCGUAAAGGGCUCGUAGGUGGUUGAUCGCGUCGGAAGUGUAAUCUUGGGGCUUAACCCUGAGCGUGCUUUCGAUACGGGUUGACUUGAGGAAGGUAGGGGAGAAUGGAAUUCCUGGUGGAGCGGUGGAAUGCGCAGAUAUCAGGAGGAACACCAGUGGCGAAGGCGGUUCUCUGGGCCUUUCCUGACGCUGAGGAGCGAAAGCGUGGGGAGCGAACAGGCUUAGAUACCCUGGUAGUCCACGCUGUAAACGGUGGGUACUAGGUGUGGGGUCCAUUCCACGGGUUCCGUGCCGUAGCUAACGCUUUAAGUACCCCGCCUGGGGAGUACGGCCGCAAGGCUAA
rnacentral:rRNA from 1 species